rnacentral:rRNA from 1 species
UGAGACACGGUCCAGACUCCUACGGGAGGCAGCAGUGGGGAAUAUUGCACAAUGGGCGCAAGCCUGAUGCAGCCAUGCCGCGUGUAUGAAGAAGGCCUUCGGGUUGUAAAGUACUUUCAGCGGGGAGGAAGGGAUGAAGCUUAAUACGCUUCGUCAUUGACGUUACCCGCAGAAGAAGCACCGGCUAACUCCGUGCCAGCAGCCGCGGUAAUACGGAGGGUGCAAGCGUUAAUCGGAAUUACUGGGCGUAAAGCGCACGCAGGCGGUCUGUCAAGUCGGAUGUGAAAUCCCCGGGCUUAACCUGGGAACUGCUUACGGCUAGAGUCUUGUAGAGGGGGGUAGAA